GAUGAAGAACGUAGCGAAAUGCGAUAAGUAAUGUGAAUUGCAGAAUUCAGUGAAUCAUCGAAUCUUUGAACGCACAUUGCGCCCGCCAGUAUUCUGGCGGGCAUGCCUGUCCGAGCGUCAUUUCAACCAUCAAGCCCCCGGGCUUGUGUUGGGGACCUGCGGCUGCCCGCAGGCCCUGAAAACCAGUGGCGGGCUCGCUGUCACACCGAGCGUAGUAGCAAUCACCUCGCUCAGGGCGUGCUGCAGGUUCCGGCCGUUAAACAGCCUUACAAAACCCAAGGUUGACCUCGGAUCAGGUAGGAAGACCCGCUGAACUUAAGCAUAUCAAUAAGCGGAGGA
rnacentral:misc_RNA from 1 species